GGUGGGGGAUCAAACCGGUGAUCCUUUGAUUUAUAGUCUGGCACUCUGCUAACUAAGAUAGCGGACUCAGUAAGUUAUGCGGCUCGGUGGGGGAUCAAACCGGUGAUCCUUUGAUUUAUAUCUGGCACUCUGCUAACUAAGAUAGCGGACUCAGUAAGUUAUGGGGCUCGGCGGGGGAUCAAACCGGUGAUCCUUUGAUUUAUAGUCUGGCACUCUGCUAACUAAGAUAGCGGACUCAGUAAGUUAUGGGGCUCGGCGGGGGAUCAAACCGGUGAUCCUUUGAUUUAUAUCUGGCACUCUGCUAACUAAGAUAGCGGACUCAGUAAGUUAUGGGGCUCGGCGGGGGAUCAAACCGGUGAUCCUUUGAUUUAUAUCUGGCACUCUGCUAACUAAGAUAGCGGACUCAGUAAGUUAUGGGGCUCGGUGGGGGAUCAAACCCGUG